GAAGCUGCGGCAGCGAACGUAUCACUUAAAGCGAUUCAGCGGGUUACGAUUGACGGAGCGAAGCGACGUCAAAGCGUAUACAAAGUCGAGUCGGUUUAAGGAUACGUUCGUUGGGUAGGGGAGCGUUCUGUAAGCCUGUGAAGGUGUGUCGUGAGGCAUGCUGGAGGUAUCAGAAGUGCGAAUGCUGACAUAAGUAACGAUAAAGCGGGUGAAAAGCCCGCUCGCCGGAAGACCAAGGGUUCCUGUCCAACGUUAAUCGGGGCAGGGUGAGUCGACCCCUAAGGCGAGGCCGAAAGGCGUAGUCGAUGGGAAACGGGUUAAUAUUCCCGUACUUGGUGUUACUGCGAAGGGGGGACGGAGAAGGCUAUGUUGGCCGGGCGACGGUUGUCCCGGUUUAAGCGUGUAGGUGUGUGUUCCAGGUAAAUCCGGUUCACUUUAACACUGAGGCGUGACGACGAGGCACUACGGUGCUGAAGCAACAAAUGCCCUGCUUCCAGGAAAAGCCUCUAAGCAUCAGGUAACAUCAAAUCGUACCCCAAACCGACACAGGUGGUCAGGUAGAGAAUACCAAGGCGCUUGAGAGAACUCGGGUGAAGGAACUAGGCAAAAUGGUGCCGUAACUUCGGGAGAAGGCACGCUGACACGUAGGUGAAGUGAUUUACUCAUGGAGCUGAAGUCAGUCGAAGAUACCAGCUGGCUGCAACUGUUUAUUAAAAACACAGCACUGUGCAAACACGAAAGUGGACGUAUACGGUGUGACGCCUGCCCGGUGCCGGAAGGUUAAUUGAUGGGGUCAGCGCAAGCGAAGCUCCUGAUCGAAGCCCCGGUAAACGGCGGCCGUAACUAUAACGGUCCUAAGGUAGCGAAAUUCCUUGUCGGGUAAGUUCCGACCUGCACGAAUGGCGUAAUGAUGGCCAGGCUGUCUCCACCCGAGACUCAGUGAAAUUGAACUCGCUGUGAAGAUGCAGUGUACCCGCGGCAAGACGGAAAGACCCCGUGAACCUUUACUAUAGCUUGACACUGAACAUUGAGCCUUGAUGUGUAG
rnacentral:rRNA from 1 species